rnacentral:rRNA from 1 species
GUAGGGAAUAUUUGGCAAUGGAUGCAAGUCUGACCCAGCCAUCCCGCGUGCCGGAAGAAGGCCCUCAGGGUUGUAAACGGCUUUUGACGGUGAAGAAUCGACAGGAUGCGUCCUGUUUUGACGGUAGCCGUUGAAUAAGCACCGGCUAACUCCGUGCCAGCAGCCGCGGUAAUACGGAGGGUGCGAGCGUUGUCCGGAUUUAUUGGGUUUAAAGGGUGCGUAGGCUGGAAGGUCAGUCAGCGGUGAAGAGCUGUCGCUUAACGAUAGUCUUGCCGCAGAUACUUCCUUUCUUGGAUGAGGAGGAGGCCACUGGAACGGAUGGUGUAGCGGUGAAAUGCAUAGAUAUCAUCCAGAACACCGAUUGCGAAGGCAGGUGGCUGUACCUUAAUCGACGCUGAUGCACGAAAGCAUGGGGAGCAAACAGGAUUAGAAACCCGAGUAGUCC